UUGAUACCACAAAAUGACAUUUUGGUAUCAAUGCGUGUGUAUGUUCAUUUAAUAUUUUUUCCAAAAUUCCUUUUGUAAGAUGCCGAAAUACUACAGGUUUAGGGCGACGACGCCUACUCGAAAAAUAAAAAGAUGCAGAGAAAAGGAGAAAGAGAAGGGAGGAGAGAAGGUCAAGUUCGUAGCAGAAAGGAGUUGGCUUGACGUGACCCUAGCAUGCACACCGGCGCCAUCUUGGUACUUACGACGCACGUCCUGGCGCGAAAGCCCGCCACUAAUGGGCCUGCCGCGGGAGCUCGCAGCAGGCCUUAGGGCCUCAGUCCAUUUAAGCAAUCGUCCUAUUUUCGUCUUCAAAAUUCCACCCACAGCCCUCUCUCAGGAGGGCAUACGUCCCAUGUGAAACGUGCAUUCAAAUGUCAAAAUUUUCCCGCGUUUUUCCGUUUUAGGUUGAAGGAUUUUUUUUAUAUUUUUCAGUGAUUUGUUCAUUAGUUAUUCCGUCAACCACAGAUUGUCCUAUCGUGAUGGGUAUUACAAAAUUUAUACGGAA